ACUUGCUCCCUGAUGUUAGCGGCGGACGGGUGAGUAACACGUGGGUAACCUGCCUGUAAGACUGGGAUAACUCCGGGAAACCGGGGCUAAUACCGGAUGGUUGUUUGAACCGCAUGGUUCAGACAUAAAAGGUGGCUUCGGCUACCACUUACAGAUGGACCCGCGGCGCAUUAGCUAGUUGGUGAGGUAACGGCUCACCAAGGCGACGAUGCGUAGCCGACCUGAGAGGGUGAUCGGCCACACUGGGACUGAGACACGGCCCAGACUCCUACGGGAGGCAGCAGUAGGGAAUCUUCCGCAAUGGACGAAAGUCUGACGGAGCAACGCCGCGUGAGUGAUGAAGGUUUUCGGAUCGUAAAGCUCUGUUGUUAGGGAAGAACAAGUGCCGUUCAAAUAGGGCGGCACCUUGACGGUACCUAACCAGAAAGCCACGGCUAACUACGUGCCAGCAGCCGCGGUAAUACGUAGGUGGCAAGCGUUGUCCGGAAUUAUUGGGCGUAAAGGGCUCGCAGGCGGUUUCUUAAGUCUGAUGUGAAAGCCCCCGGCUCAACCGGGGAGGGUCAUUGGAAACUGGGGAACUUGAGUGCAGAAGAGGAGAGUGGAAUUCCACGUGUAGCGGUGAAAUGCGUAGAGAUGUGGAGGAACACCAGUGGCGAAGGCGACUCUCUGGUCUGUAACUGACGCUGAGGGAGCGAAAGCGUGGGGAGCGAACAGGGAUUAGAUACCCUGGUAGUCCACG
rnacentral:rRNA from 1 species